AGAGUUUGAUCCUGGCUCAGAUUGAACGCUGGCGGAAUGCUUUACACAUGCAAGUCGAACGGCAGCACGGACUUCGGUCUGGUGGCGAGUGGCGAACGGGUGAGUAAUAUAUCGGAACGUGCCCAGUCGUGGGGGAUAACGUAGUGAAAAUUACGCUAAUACCGCAUACGAUCUACGGAUGAAAGCGGGGGAUCGCAAGACCUCGCGCGAUUGGAGCGGCCGAUAUCAGAUUAGGUAGUUGGUGAGGUAAAGGCUCACCAAGCCGACGAUCUGUAGCUGGUCUGAGAGGACGACCAGCCACACUGGAACUGAGACACGGUCCAGACUCCUACGGGAGGCAGCAGUGGGGAAUUUUGGACAAUGGACGCAAGUCUGAUCCAGCCAUUCCGCGUGCAGGACGAAGGCCUUCGGGUUGUAAACUGCUUUUGUACAGAACGAAAAGGUUUCUAUUAAUACUAGGGGCUCAUGACGGUACUGUAAGAAUAAGCACCGGCUAACUACGUGCCAGCAGCCGCGGUAAU
rnacentral:rRNA from 1 species